rnacentral:rRNA from 1 species
AUUGAACGCUGGCGGCAGGCCUAACACAUGCAAGUCGAGCGGAAACGAGAAUAGCUUGCUAUUCGGCGUCGAGCGGCGGACGGGUGAGUAAUGCCUGGGAAAUUGCCCUGAUGUGGGGGAUAACCAUUGGAAACGAUGGCUAAUACCGCAUAAUAGCUUCGGCUUAAAGAGGGGGACCUUCGGGCCUCUCGCUUCAGGAUAUGCCCAGGUGGGAUUAGCUAGUUGGUGAGGUAAAGGCUCACCAAGGCGACGAUCCCUAGCUGGUUUGAGAGGAUGAUCAGCCACACUGGAACUGAGACGCGGUCCAGACUCCUACGGGAGGCAGCAGUGGGGAAUAUUGCACAAUGGGCGCAAGCCUGAUGCAGCCAUGCCGCGUGUAUGAAGAGGGCCUUCGGGUUGUAAAGUACUUUCAGCAGUGAGGAAGGGUGUGUAGUUAAUAGCUGCAUACUUUGACGUUAGCUGCAGAAGAAGCACCGGCUAACUCCGUGCCAGCAGCCGCGGUAAUACGGAGGGUGCGAGCGUUAAUCGGAAUUACUGGGCGUAAAGCGCAUGCAGGUGGUUUGUUAAGUCAGAUGUGAAAGCCCGGGGCUCAACCUCGGAACCGCAUUUGAAACUGGCAGGCUAGAGUACUGUAGAGGGGGGUAGAAUUUCA